GAGGGAGGUAGUAAAUAUUUGAUGGGAACUUCCAGCUCCUCCUGACUUGGGUGACCCUGGUGACAUUUCAGAACACUGGGCUGCAGAAUUCAUUUAAUGUCUGAGAAAUGAGGAGAAACAAAAGCAUGUAGCUGCAAUGCUCAGAGCUCAGAAAGGGCUCAUGUAGGCAAAUUCUGCAAGACAGGAAAGAAAGGGCUCUUUUUUCUUCUUCUUUUUUUUUUAGGAGCUGAGUCAGAUCAGCAGCAAACUGAGUAACCAGAAAGUGUAUGCUUCUAGGCCAAUGACCUACCCUUCCAAACUGCUAGGCACAGCCAGGGCCCUGGCUAUCUGGUUCACUGUUGUCUUCCUGGUGUCCGCAAAUGUCUGAACAAACCAACCACAGGAACUAAAGAACCCCCUGAAGGUGUCCUUAAUAAGUGCUCAAGAAAUAUUUGAGAAAUGAAUGAAUUGGUAUCACCCAUUCAACAACACAGCGUUCCUACUGCUGUGUUCCCAGCCCUGACCACUGGUGCGCUGACACUGGUGUCUCCUCACUAACACCAAACCACUGCAAUGAACUCCCCUGACACAUAGCCUCACUAACUCUCACAGCUCUGCAUCCAGAGAACUAUUUCCAGCUAACUUGGCUAACGAGGGCUCCCUGCAGGAACAAAGCCACACACCGCUGCCCUAUGGCCCCACCACAGCAGCCCCGCACAACCCAAAUCAAUGUGUGGCUGCCUUCAUGUCAGACCUCCACCAGCAACAGCCACUGCGGAGUAGUAUUUUGAAAAGAGAUGUGCAGAUCUGAAGCAAAACACACAGGGCCUCCUUGGAAUCCCGAUUCAGUGUGGCAAGCCAGGAGCUCGAAACGGCUUCUUUAUGCUAGAUCUUAGCACAGAAAGGCGCAGGCCCCCGUUUCCCUACAAACCACGCAAACACUGUAAUCAGACCUCUGCAUGACACCUCUCCGCGGCUGCCACAGAACUGUCUCAAAGCUGUGCCAAUGAGUUUGACUUGAUUACAGACUCUGAACUAGGGGAAAGCCUGGCUUUCCUCCUUUCUGCCGAACCUGUCUCCCCAGCAGCACAGCCCCAAGCUGUAGACUUGGAUUGUGACUAUGGAGUAGCUUUUAAAGGGCAGGUGUCCAGGUGCCUGGGACUCUUGAGGGAGAGCCCUGGGGGAACGACUGAUGACCUCUCCGUGGCCUUUCUGACCCUUCCAAUGGCAUCCCUGGAGUGACAGCUUCCUUAAACCACUCCAAAGUUUCAGUGUGAACCACAACCCCUCCAUGCCUACCCAGACACCGCUUCUCUUUCCUCCUAUUUUUGAAUCUCUUAACUUUUCCCAGGCCUUCAGGGACAGGAUAGGCAGUGGCUAGCGUCCCUCACCCUAAGUAAUUCUGUGUUCUCUGCAGUCCUCUCUCUUGACCCCUAUACUCCAAACCGCUUGCUCUCCUGAGUCGCACCCUGACGGUACUGGCCAGAAGCCAGAGGAGUGGGUUUGGCGCCACCUGCUCGGAGCACCCCUCCUCGAUCCCCGCGAAUCUCCAGGAGGGUCGUAGAGGUCGCUCCCUUCCAGGAUUGGUGGGUUCCGGCAGUUGUGAGAGAAGCUAGGCGGGGACGCCUCGCCCCAAGAGGCCCGGAGCGUGGACAGCGCACGGGGUGCUGAACCAGGCAUAGGAGGAGUGCCGGCAAGGGCACUGGCCCCGGGAGGAAGAGCAUCUCCAAUUAAUCUUGGAAUGAGAGCCGAGGGCAAGAAGCCAGCGGUGCCUGAGGGAUGCUAAAGAUCCAGGGAAACAAAUGCCAGCGAGGGACCCCACAGCAAAGAGACAGACACUGCGAGCAAGUCUACUGUUUCCAUGAGGCUUGCGAGGCGUGUGCGCGGGUCUCCGCAUUGGCACCAUCUGCCAAUUCCUCAGGAGGACAGAACAAACCAGUGAGGCAUGAAGAUUAGAUUAUGUAACGCUCGAGGAUUGCUGUUUUCAAAGAGGAAACAAAUGGAACGAAUUGAUUUGCUUGUCAAAGCCAUGUCGCUAAAGGAGAUCUAUUCUCUCCUCUUCUAAGAGGACCUCAUUAAAGAGUGGAAUGGUUUCACAGAUUCAGAAACUGUGAGACCACAAUCCACUCCAUUCAUAGGAGCAAGUCCACACUUUCCAGAGUUGCACUGGCAUAUCCUAUUCUAGUCCCCAAGCCUGAAGAAAUAUCUAUCCAGCUACUACCUAAAGGGUACUGAUAUGGUGAGGAACGUGACUGUCAGUUGCUGACCGUAAGAUUCAGAACCUGCGGCCAGACGUCGUGGCUCACGCCUGUAAUCCCAGCACUUUGGGACGCCAAGGUGGGUGGAUCAUGUGAGGUCAGAAGUUCAAGACCAGCCUGGCCAACAUGGUGAAAUCCCAUCUCUACUAAAAAUACAAAAAUUACUUGGGCGUGGUGGCACACACCUGUAAUCCCAGCUGCUUGGGAGGCAGAGGCACGAGAAUUGCUUGAGCCUAAGAGGUAGAGGUUGCAGUGAGCCAAGAUCAAGCCACUGCACUCCAGCCUGGGUGACAGAGCGAGACUCUGUCUCAAAAAAACAAACAAAACAAAACCCAGAACCUGUGUGCUUUGCCUGAGCUGUCUUGCUUCUGGGGAAGCAGUGUCUCAUUUUGAGACCAGUGGGAUUGUAUUUACUAUUCAGAGCUCUAAACAAGUGCUGUUGAUAGAGGAAGGAGGUGGGUUUUUUUGUUUUGUUUUGUUUUGUUUUUUUGAGACGGAGUCUUGCUCUGUCGCCCAGGCUGGAGUACAAUGGCGCAAUCUCGGCUCACUGCAACCUCCACCUCCCAGGUUCAAGCGAUUCUCCUGCCUCAGCUCCCUGAGUAGCUGGGAUUACAGGUGUGCAUCACCAUGCCUGGCUAAUUUUUAUAUUUUUAGUAGAGAUGGGAUUUCACCAUGUUGGCCAGGAUGGUCUUGAUCUCCUGACCUCGUGAUCUACCCACAUCAGCCUCGCAAAGUGCUGGGAUUACAGGUGUGAGCCACUGGAAAUGUGUUCCUAAAAAUAUAUGUAUCAGAAAAAAAAAAGUAUACACACACACACACACACACACAUCAGGAAGGAAAACUCAUUGAAUUUCUGAGAGUCCUCUGCCAUUGCUGGGCUUCUCUAAAAUGCCCAGCACAAUACUUUUUCUAGUAUCUUCAGGAGAUCUGAGGAAUGAACAAAUGAGAACCCUGAACCUGCUGCCAUGGUUCCAUCCCUCAAGGUUUCACUGCCUCCCUAAGAUACCAGGAUUUAAAUAUCAAGUCUUUAUCUAGCAUGCAGAUGAAGCCUCCUGUACCAGAUAGUUUCCAUUUGCCCUCCAGAUCGGUUCUUCCACCCUUCUCCGAGCUGCCCUUGGCCUUGGCGGGUUGACCUACAUGGACUGCAGCAGCUCGCUCUCCUGCCCUCUAGCUUCCAGGCGGUACAGCCAAUGGGAGCGGCAGCAGGAGAUGGGAGGGUGGGAGGACAGCAUGGGUGAAGUGUUUCUUUCCCCAGUUCCCUCCUGCCAGAUCGCCUUAGGUGCGUUGUGCCUUUUGAUAAAAGGUCACCCCUCUUUCUCAAGGCAGCCUGCUCCACACAACUCUCUCUUUCUGGGUUCUGUCAUUUCUCCCUCCCCUCAACCUUCAGUUCUAAGAGUGGUAAAGGCCCUGUGGGUACUGCACUAGACCUUACAGCUUUCCCAGGCCCUGCUGAAACCUUGUAAAUACUCCAUUUAUUAAAUCUUCUUCUAAUGAUCUUA